rnacentral:lncRNA from 10 species
UCUGGGCUCAGUGACUCAAUGAAUAUUCAUCUAAGAUGUGUGAUGAGUCCAGAUACUGUGAAGAUCAGGAUCAGCCGUCAGCACCUGCCCUCAAAGAGCUCAGAGUUUAGCUGGGGAGGCCUCGGUGUAUACUGCCAUCGAUCCAGCCUGGUGCCUGGGAUAGGGAAGUGCAUGAUAAAUGCUGCAUAAAUGAAAAACAAUUGCUACCGUGGAAGAUAUUGAAAGGAAAGUGCUAUCGAUGCCAAAGUUGUUUCCAAGAGAGGUAUUCCAAAAGUGUUUCAAGCAAUGACUGAGCUAAGCAUCCAGUCCUGCAAGGUGAAGGCGUUGAAGACGCAGCCCUCAUUUGAAUAGAUGAAUUGUGGUAUUCUUGUUAAAUAAUGAAUCAUAUCAAGGCUUGGUCACACCUCAUGCACAUGAAAAGACCAAAACGCAAGGCAGCAUAUCAGCGCCACGUGAAGUACACACUAAGCACCAACUAUUUAAUUCAGCAAUCAUGGGGGGCCCGGUGGCUCACGCCUGUCAUCUUAGCAAUUUGGGAGGCCGAGGCAGGUGGAUCGCUUGAGCCCAGGAGUUCGAGAUCAGCCUGGGCAUCAUGGUGGCCUGCACCUGUAGUCCCAGCUACUCAGGAGGCUGAGGUGGGAGGAUAGUUUGACCCCAGAAAGUUGAGGCUGCAGUGAGCCGUGA